UACGUAGGAUGCAAGCGUUGUCCGGAUUUACUGGGCGUAAAGGGCGCGCAGGCGGUAUAGCAAGUCUAUCGUGAAAGCCCCCGGCUAAACCGGGGAGGGUCGGUAGAUACUGCUAACUAGAGUGCAGCAGAGGAUAGUGGAAUUCCCGGUGUAGUGGUGAAAUGCGUAGAUAUCGGGAGGAACACCAGUGGCGAAAGCGGCUAUCUGGGCUGUAACUGACGCUGAGGCGCGAAGGCUAGGGGAGCAAACAGG
rnacentral:rRNA from 1 species